rnacentral:SRP_RNA from 1 species
GCCGGGCGUGGUGGCUCACGCCUGUAAUCCCAACACUUUGGGAGGCUGGGGCAGGCGAAUCACUUGAGCCCAGGAGUUCGAGACUAGCCUGGGCAAUAUGGUGAAACCCCGUCUCUA